UACGGAGGGUGCAAGCGUUGUCCGGAUUUAUUGGGUUUAAAGGGUGCGUAGGCGGCUCUGUAAGUCAGCGUUGAAAUAUGGCAGCUUAACUGUCAGACUGGCAUUGAUACUGCAGGGCUUGAGUGAAGUCGAGGUUGGCGGAAUUGAAGGUGUAGCGGUGAAAUGCAUAGAUAUCUUCAAGAACACCUAUUGCGAAGGCAGCUAACUAGACUUUAACUGACGCUGAGGCACGAAAGCGUGGGGAUCAAACAGG
rnacentral:rRNA from 1 species